AUGUUCCUACGGGACGCAGCAGUAGGGAAUCUUCCACAAUGGACGAAAGUCUGAUGGAGCAACGCCGCGUGAGUGAAGAAGGGUUUCGGCUCGUAAAGCUCUGUUGGUAGUGAAGAAAGAUAGAGGUAGUAACUGGCCUUUAUUUGACGGUAAUUACUUAGAAAGUCACGGCUAACUACGUGCCAGCAGCCGCGGGAAUACGUAGGUGGCAAGCGUUUUCCGGAUUUAUUGGGCGUAAA
rnacentral:rRNA from 1 species